AAGCACCGGCUAACUCCGUGCCAGCAGCCGCGGUAACACGGAGGGUGCAAGCGUUAUUCGGAAUUAUUGGGCGUAAAGGGCGCGUAGGCGGCCGAACAGGUCAGAUGUGAAAGCCCGGGGCUUAACCCCGGAAGUGCAUUUGAAACCUUUUGGCUUGAGUAUGGGAGAGGAGAGCGGAAUUCCUGGUGUAGAGGUGAAAUUCGUAGAUAUCAGGAGGAACACCGGUGGCGAAGGCGGCUCUCUGGACCAAUACUGACGCUGAGGCGCGAAGGCGUGGGUAGCAAAACAGGAUUAGAUACCCUGGUAGUCCACGCAGUAAACGUUGUUCACUAGGUGUAGUGGGUAUUGACCCCUACUGUGCCGCAGCUAACGCAUUAAGUGAACCGCCUGGGAAGUACGGUCGCAAGAUUAAAACUCAAAGGAAUUGACGGGGG
rnacentral:rRNA from 1 species